UAGUCCACGCCGUAAACGAUGGAUACUAGAUGUCGGGGCUCUUGCCCUUCCGGUGUCGUAGCUAACGCGUUAAGUAUCCCGCCUGUGGAGUACGGCCGCAAGGCUAAAACAUAAAGAAAUUGACGGGGGCCCGCACAAGCGGUGGAGUAUGUGGUUUAAUUCGAUGCAACGCGAAGAACCUUACCUGGAUUUGACAUCCCGUGCUACCCUGGGAAACUAGGGGUUCUCUUCGGAGACGCGGUGACAGGUGCUGCAUGGCUGUCGUCAGCUCGUGUCGUGAGAUGUUGGGUUAAGUCCCGCAACGAGCGCAACCCUUGCCAUUAGUUGCCAGCAUUUAGUUGGGCACUCUAAUGGGACCGCUUGCCGAUAAGGCAGAGGAAGGUGGGGAUGACGUCAAGUCCGCACGGCCCUUAUGUCCAGGGCUACACACGUGUUACAAUGGCAGGUACAAAGGGCAGCUACUGGGUGACCAGAUGCUAAUCUCAAAAGCCUGUCUCAGUUCGGAUCG
rnacentral:rRNA from 1 species